rnacentral:rRNA from 1 species
UACGGGGGGGGCAAGCGUUGUUCGGAAUUACUGGGCGUAAAGGGCUCGUAGGCGGCCAACUAAGUCAGACGUGAAAUCCCUCGGCUUAACCGGGGAACUGCGUCUGAUACUGGAUGGCUUGAGUUCGGGAGAGGGAUGCGGAAUUCCAGGUGUAGCGGUGAAAUGCGUAGAUAUCUGGAGGAACACCGGUGGCGAAGGCGGCAUCCUGGACCGACACUGACGCUGAGGAGCGAAAGCCAGGGGAGCAAACAGG